rnacentral:lncRNA from 1 species
GGGAGAAGCAGACUCCAUGCAGGGAGCCCAACGUAGGACUCGAUCCCAGAACUCCAGGAUCACGCCCCGAACUGAAGGCAGACGCUCAACCACUGAGCCACCCAGGCAUCCCAAGAAAAAUCUUUAAAAAAGAAAAAGAAAAAAGAGAGUAAGGAAGAAGGACACUUACUGUUGUCACUACUUACAAAAGUGAUGUGAGCUGUUGUAACAAAUAAGCUCCCCAAUCUCCGUGGCUUACCACAGCGAAGAAGUGUGCAUAUCUCACUCACACAAUGUCUAUUCGUGGUUCCUUUUACACAGAUGGCCUUUGGGGAUCCAGUUUCCUUUUCUCUUGUGGUUCUGCGGUCCCCCGCAUACUCAGAAUUCUCUUCUGGAUCCAUGGUCUAGUGAGAACCUGGGGGAAGAAAGAACAUCCGAGGACCAUAUGAGGAAUCUGCAAUUGCAAUGGACCAAGGAUACACAGAUAGUGACAAAGCUGGGAUUUGGACACUGGCCUGUUUGGCCCCAAAGGCUGAGAGCUUGGGUUUGUGUCAUUCUGCCUCCAGAAUUACCCACUGAGUUAACAAGAUCUUUGGACUUAUGCCUUCGGAGCCCUGCUAUACUGGAGACACCUCAUGGGGAACAGAAGAGAGACGCCAGGGAGCCUCUGGCACCAGAUAGGUGGAUUAAGAAAGCUUCAAGACAGUCCUAGCCUGAGCCACCACCUGACUGCAGCCUCGUGAGAGCUCUUGAGCUGGAUCUGCCUUAAUGAGCUGCUUCUGAAUUCCUGCCUACAGACUCUGAGAAAUAUAAUAAAUGCUUGCUGCUGUUACUCUGAAGUGCCCA